rnacentral:lncRNA from 1 species
AUGCCAAAGGCCACCACCACCUGUGGGCACACUGCUUUCGUGCUCAGUUCAGUUCUAAAAUAUUUUCCAUCUGGAAAGCUCACAUCACCCAAUAACAGAGGCACUGCAUCUUUCUGGUUUCUGAGUGCUAUGUGGGAAGGCUGUGCCUCCACAGGUGUAUGGAGGGCAGGAGCAAGGUCUGGCUGCGGCCCUCAGACAGGGAGGGCCUCUGGGCCCCCAGCUGCAGCAGGUUCCAAACAGGAAGCAGGACCUGAAGCAGAGGGUUUGCCUAUAGAGCUGAGAGAGAACUUGGCUGUGAAGAAGGAAGGUUUGGAGGGAGAGAUACGAAUGUGAGGAAGCUCCUUUGUCUUUUCUGAUGAAGCUCAAAGUAGUGAAUCCAAGUAACUCAAUGCCUUUCGUCAUCAUUAUUCUGGAUGAAGCUAUUAAUGAGCCACUUAGUUGUCUACAGUGAAAUAGUCUCAUGGUUUAACUGGCGCUUAAUAUCUCAACAAAAUCACAGUGGUAUACAACAUUAAAGAGAAAGAAAGUGUUCCCUGUACAGUCUGUCAAGCUGUGCUACAAUUUUCAGUGGGUACUAGUUAGGGCCUGUUAAUGAUGGGGUGCCCUACAGAGGCAGAUGAGCAGUAAGUUCAGCUUCAUAUUAGUUUAAUUACAUGUUCUUGGGUAGUAUCUUUGGGUUCUCCUUUUGAAGAAGUAAGUGGUCAUACUAAAAAUUAUGCUAUUUGUUUGUACUUCUUUAAAAUGCAAAUCUGCCUGUGAGUGAAUACUUUUUUCAGUGUGACGACUUGAAUAUUUAAACCAGACUUAUAUUUUGAAAUGAAAUAACUUUGAUGUGUUAUUCUAUCAAUAUCAGAAUACUUUGCCUGAAAUCGUUCUCACAAACAAUAAUUUUAAAAAAUUAUCUAAAAGAAACACACCUUUCAAAGGCAUUUUGAUGUUUUAGGGAGGGAAGUGAUGCUGGCAACCAAAAAAUUUUUACUACCUGCGCUGAAUGAUUGACAGGAACAUUCAUGGAGAACAUCUACCUCAAUGAAUUUUUAUCAGAAAAAGCAGUUUUUUGGGGGAAAAACUCAUCAGAUUAUUUUCUGGUUUCAUUAUAUAUAAAAAGUCAGAUUCCCCUGUACUCACUGUGCUCAAAUGUAAAUUUUGUUUUCAUAGUUCUGUUUUCAUUCUGAUGUGUUAUUACUGGGAAAAAUAUUUGGCUAAAUAGGAAUAUCCUGUAGGGUAAUUUUAUUACAGGUAGAUACCUUAUGUAUUAUAGCUUUAAUUUAUUGUGUGUAAUGUAUUGGUUGUACUUAAGCAAGUUAGCUGUCAGUGUAUAUGUUACUUACACAUAUACCUAUUUUUUAAGAUUGGACAUGAU